ensembl:lncRNA
GUCCAUGUAAACGUAGGCAUUAAGAGAGAAGGAUGUGUGUCCCCUUCUCAAGUGUCGGACACUAAUGUGGAAGUCGUCGAUCCCGCAGGAAUGACGUGUUUUUUUAGGCCACCACAGGAGUUAGCAUCACCCCGGUUCCCUCGACAAAAAGCCAGUAGGAUUUUUCUAUUGGCUUUUGGAUUAUUGCCAAAAAUACACUCUUUGACCAACAAAAGCUUAUGAUUCUUACAUGUUCCGUUCAUUAAGAUAAGAUUAGUAGAUGUAGGCUGUAAUAGAUGAGAUUUCCUUUUCGGCGUGAUGACGUUUAAUGUCCCCGACAACAUUUAGCCACUUCUUAGCAACCGUCUUUUUCCAAGACACGUAAAAGCUUAUCCUGAGUGAGGUAUUACUGAUGUAUUUUAUGGCGCAGUAUAAAACGUGAACUUGUCUUCACCUCAUUUUAGUCAUUUAACCAAAAAAUCCAUUCCAAAACCCCAUCGACUUCGGGACGAUGGUUGUCCUGUACACAGGAAGAUUCGAAGACCACGAGAAAACAACUUUCGUUACGUCGAGAUCACGUGAAAAUGAAGCCGUGAUCACGAGAAAACAACAGAAAAAAAAAAACUAAUAAUGCAUGGCCGCUUAGGGCUUCCGUAGAUUUUAAGGAAGACAUGUUGGAAAUUGAAGACUCAUCCGACGUUAAACCAUCUUUAAAAGGUAAACUACUGUACAUUAUUACCACGUGGUUUGAGACAUGGCUACAGAAAGACUACGGAUUUUUCCUGAAGUGUGAGAAUUCACACUAAUAAGAAGAGAAUAAUAAGGGGGGAAUUAUUUUACCUGCUUCUAUACAAAAUUUCCAUAAACACUAAACGUUUUGAAGUGGUUCUGCUGCCCCCGUGUGGUAAACCAUCAGCACUGCAUCGUGCGCACCUACAGAGGCUUAUCAGAGGGGAAAAAAAAACCUUCUUUCUAUACAUCUUAAUAUGGAUAUAUAUUAAAUUGUGUACUAUUGUGCACUCCUUGUGACUGUUGUGGUACCUCACCUUAUAUUUUUACAUGGUAAUCCGAGUACAGUGCACCUUUAAAAGUACAUUCAAUUCAGAUCCUGAAGGCGGAGCUUCGUGAACAUGGGCAGGAAUCAUUCUCAUGGCGAACCCAGCUAACUGGUAGAGACCUAGGGUGCGUCUCAAUCAGCUGCCUAGUUCAGAAGUCGCGGCACCGAUCAGCGAGUCGGCCAUUUUAAGUGCCGCCUCGAUCAAUCGCAAAAUCCUUCUGGAAUGUUCGCUCCCUAAAAAUCCCACAAUGCACCACAAAAAACCAAGGAGCAUCGCUGCUCAUCAUGUUCCCUUACUGGAACUGACCUCGCUUUUUUUUUUUUAAGCCCCUCAGCACGAUUACCCACGUUAGAGGUUUUUAACGUUACGUGUGGCGAGACAGGGCCCUUACCAGAGCCCCGACUCGUGUACACGAGGAAUUCAUUUAACUAGCUUUUAGAGUAAUACUUUAAAGGUACAUUUUAAAUACAUAAAAAGGUACCGCCCAAGUAACAAGCUGCACUUCAGUACCUCUCCUCUGAGAGUGUGUAGCGUCUGAUUUUUACAGGAUCCAGAUCCGCCCCUUCGGCGAUAAUCGCUCCUAGAAAAUAAAAACGAAGCAGGCAGUUUUACGAGGUUCAAAUGUUUUAUUUCUCAUAGUCAUGAGUGGCAUUUCAAUGGUUUCCACAGCAUAUGACGCAGCAUGCAGAGACGAAGAGGCCCAAAACGAACAAACAAAAAAUAAUUUCAACAAAAAUCCUAAGACUGAAAUGUUGUAUUCUCAACACAACCCCAUAAUCCCCCCCAAACCCCCCCCCCCCCCAAAACCCAUCACCAUCGUACGAGGUAACAAACUGACCAAUCCCCAACAUAGUUCUAGAAAGCACUGAAUCAAAAGCAAAGAAGCACUAACUGUAUCACAUGUAAAUAACAAAAGUCUGUACAAAACAAUUCAUCCAAAUCAGGAGCCGGAAAAAAAAUAAUAAAACCCCAACAAAACCCGAAACACAAGACCCAGUUUCCACAGCACGCCGCUUCCACAGGGCCGGAGUAAAGCUUUGUUUAAUGUGACACUGAUUUUUCUGAUUAUUAUAUUCAUCUGGUGAUUAUAAGAAGUAUGGAUACAUGAUGUAGUGGAGUAAGUUCGUCAUUUCCAUAUUUAAAACAUUUACCAAAAAAAGUUUGGCAACAUCCAUAUAUUUAUAUGCAACUGUCAUUCAUAUAUCAAUUCUUACCAUUCAUUAUGUAAACAAGAGGAUUGGUUUUCUUAAAAAUGUUUUUAUUUUAAUUUUCCCCCCCAAAAAGUCGGACCUACAUGCACGGAGAAAAGAAAGACACCCGCCCGUUUCAUGCAAAGCACAUCACCAGACCCUUAAGGGUCUUUUUAUUUUGGGGAAAACGCAGGUCGUGCAGUGCGUGGUUUAGAAAAAAGAAAACAAACAAACGACAACAACAAAAAAACAACCAGCAGACGUGCAUGUGAGAGAGCGAGAGAAAGAUUAGAGAGAGCGAGAGAGGAGAGAGUUGGUGAGAGAGAGAGAGAGAGAGAGAGAGAGAGGGGAGAGAGAGGAGUAAGAGAGAGAGAGGGGGAGAGAGGAGAGUUGGAGAGAGAGAGAGAAAGAGGGGAGAGAGAGAGGAGUGUGGGAGAGAGAGAGAGGGGAGAGAAAGAGAGGGGAGAGAGAGAGGGG